UCACAUUUGUUUCAAAGGGUUUGUAAAACCUUGAAGGCCAUUAAGGGUGUCAGGCCAAGCAAGGCUCAGGUUCUGAACGGGCUGUCCGGGCCAUGUUUAGCUUCCUGGGAUCCACAGCCCUUGGCUUGUUGGGCCUGGUGUGGUCGGUCUCAUUGGUUUCCCCCACUCCAGUGCUGUUCACACUUCUACCCUAAGCCGUCCCUCUGAAGCAGGAACACCAUCUUUACCCUGGGCAACCGUGGUGCUGUCAUCUCACCGGCCGAGCUGGAUGCCCCGAUCCUGGUGUCCCAUACUGCCCAGCGUGGAGAGCAGAGGGUAUGGUGAGGCAACCCCUCCAUGGCCAGGGAUCAGUUCCUGAGUGUUAGUUAGUUUGAUAUGUGUGAGGGGUGGGUGUCCCUGGCCUGCUGUGAUGUGGAAGGUUAGGAGCCAUGGACUUAGAGGCAGACAGAGGGAGACUGGCUGGGGUGUGACUGUCAGGAGAAGACAGUUGAAAUGUAUGUGGGGGCGGCAAUCAGUGUGGAGGGCUUCUCUUGUGACCUGUGCCCCAUCUUCAGUGCCUGUUCAGGGUGCUCCUCCCUGCCUGGAGGUUGGGUGUGUGGUCUUGUGAGCUCUGAUUACUAAGCUGUGCUGAGUCUCCACAUCCACGGGGUCAGUGUGAGACCCAUCCGUGUCUUUCUCUGUCUUGGUAGUAUCCGUUUGAAGCGCUCUUCUGCAGCCAGCAUUAUGCCCUCCUCGACAAAUCUUGCCUGAAUAUCUUUUUAUCUGUAAAUUUUUCGUGAUGUCUGGCCCGGCUGCACACAACCUGUUCCACGGUGUCAUGAUGUUCUCCAUGACACAGGUGAGCUUCCGAAUUCUG
rnacentral:lncRNA from 1 species